GGGAGAAAGAGAGAGGGAGAAAGACAGGGAGAGGGAGAGAGAGGAUGAGAAUCAUCUGAGUCUGCAAUCCCCAGGCAUCCUGCAGCUGCGCUAGAGAAAAAGUCCUCAGGGUGCAAAGAAGAGAAAUGCAAUAAAAUGAUAAUGAGGAGGCCCAGGACCCGCACAAGGGCACUGCUGCAAGCAGUUACUUCAAGAAAACCUCCUGCUGCUCGUCCAGCCCUUGCUGGUGGUGCCCAGCAGCCCGUAUUCUUAUCCCAACCCAAUGUGUGUGGAGACAGCCCUGCAAAAGCGGAGAGAUCGUGUGCCCAGAGAGAUGCUCCAGGAACGAAACAGAGCAGACAGGCCGGGUCGCAGUGUUGGAGCAAAAGACAACCCCCAAAGAGCGCUUUGUCCCAAAGGAUGAGUCCACACCUGCUAACAGUUUCUCUUGUCAAACUAAGCCUGAGGCCCCGAGCGCCACUGCUCAGUAGCACUCACCGUCUUGGUCCUGAUGCUGCUGUCACUACACAACUUCUGGGUUGACGACGCAAACACACGUGACAUGUAGUAUCUCAUUUAAUUCUCGCAACUGUAAUUAUCUCCGUUUCAUGACGUCCAUUUGCAGAAAAGAUUAAGUGGCUAAUCCUACAACACAAUCAAAUGGCUUGUCCCACAACUAGAGAAGAGAUUGGGAAUUUGAACUCCGCUGCAGAGCUCCGGAGCCUGUGCUCCGAAGGGAGGAGUGGGCUGGAGCUCCCCCCAGUGGUCGUCAUGUAACCCCAACAAUUCUUACCUUCAUUGCUGUCUGCCUCGUUUACAUUCCUCUUUUUCUCGUUGGUAGCAAGUCCCUCCUCCAGCCUCUUCUUCCCGAGCCCUGGUCAUUAAAGUCUUAAAUCUCGGAUUCCACCCUCCCCGCAGCUGAACCCUUGUUUUCCUCCCUAUCCAGAGAGCCUUAACCUCUUGUCUUACGUGUGUCUAACUUGAACCUGUACGGCCUAUUCUUUGAGACUCUUUAUAUUUUAAAAAACCUGCACAGAUCUUGUCAAAAAGUUAUUUGUACUUCUUUCCACUUCUACAAUUAGGCGAUCAUUGCCUUUUCUCCGAUCCUGUAAUCUCCCCAACGUAUCCGUUUCUUAUUCCCGUCCCUUAACUGAACGGAAGUGGGAUCGGCUUUUCUGUUCUCUCUAGUACUUCUCCCGCCCCUUGUUCUGCGAUUAUUACCCAAGAGCUUUGCUGAUGUUGGACUCCAUAUAGCACUGUUUCUAACACUUCCUUGUUUUCCUAAGUGACCCCAGCAACUGGCUCACAGCCUUCUUUUCCCUUGCUAAAGUCCGAGCGACUCAGACAUCAAAAUUGAUCAUCUUCCCAACUGUGUACUCAGGCAGAGUUCAGGUUCCACUUCCCCAGGGAGUUCUGUCUUGCUUCCAUGGAGCUUUCCACCUGGCUGUCUCAUUCUUAAACAGCUUUAUUAAGACAACAUCGACAUAUAAAAAUGUAUAGACUUAAGAAGUGCAACUUGAUGUUUUAAUGUUACAUUAUUAAAUCAUCACCACAAUCAUGCCAAUUAAACGUAUCCAUUGCCUCUGCAUAGUUGCCAUUGUGUAUGUGCAUGUGCAUGUGUGUGAGUGUGUGUAGUGAGAAGAUUUAAGAUCUGUCCUCUCAGCAAACUGCUAAUAUACAAUACAGUUUUGUUAUUUAACAUCACCAUGCUGUACAUUAGGUCUCUAGAAAUUAUUUGUAUCUUUCAUAACUGAAUCUUUGUAUCUUUUGGCCAGUAUCACCUUAUUUCUUCCUCCACCGGGCUCUGGAAACCACUAUCCUACUAUCUGCUUCUAUAAACUUGACUAUUUUUGAUUUCACAUAUAAAUGAGAUUAUGCAGGAU
ensembl:lincRNA